GCCUUUAUGGUGUAGUGGUCAGCACGCUCGAUGCGUAACCGAGAGGUCAGUGGUUCGACUUCCGGCGAAGGCG
rnacentral:tRNA from 1 species